GCACAGGUUUACCUGUGUGACUGCGUACCUUUUGUAUAAUGGGUCAGCGACUUAUAUUCUGUAGCAAGGUUAACCGAAUAGGGGAGCCGGAGGGAAACCGAGUCUUAACCGGGCGUUAAGUUGCAGGGUAUAGACCCGAAACCCGGUGAUCUAGCCAUGGGCAGGUUGAAGGUUGGGUAACACUAACUGGAGGACCGAACCGACUAAUGUUGAAAAAUUAGCGGAUGACCUGUGGCUGGGGGUGAAAGGCCAAUCAAACCGGGAGAUAGCUGGUUCUCCCCGAAAGCUAUUUAGGUAGCGCCUCGUGAAUUCAUCUCCGGGGGUAGAGCACUGUUUCGGCUAGGGGGCCAUCCCGGCUUACCAACCCGAUGCAAACUGCGAAUACCGGAGAAUGUUAUCACGGGAGACACACGGCGGGUGCUAACGUCCGUCGUGAAGAGGGAAACAACCCAGACCGCCAGCUAAGGUCCCAAAGUCAUGGUUAAGUGGGAAACGAUGUGGGAAGGCCCAGACAGCCAGGAUGUUGGCUUAGAAGCAGCCAUCAUUUAAAGAAAGCGUAAUAGCUCACUGGUCGAGUCGGCCUGCGCGGAAGAUGUAACGGGGCUAAACCAU
rnacentral:rRNA from 1 species